AUGUCCGCCAAGUCGGUGUCCGCGGACAAGUCGGCGGUCGAUUCCAGGAUCUCAUCCGCACGCCCUCGUCUCCCGCGGCGCGCUGGUACAAGGGUAUCAAACUCCCAGCAGUUUGCCGCACAACGGCGGUUAUUGGUGAAGCACCAAGAGGAAUUGAAGCUUUUCAUCAUCGUUUUCGGAUGUGAGGUGAUCGAUUCAGCUCUGGAAAGCUCGCACCGUCGUAUCAGGAAGCUACUUAUCUGCUGUUUCGCCGUAGCAUUUGCUUUCGCGGUUUCGGCCUUCUUCUAUGGCGUGGAGUAUGCUAAGAAGGAGCUUAUGGGGGAUGAGAAGAUUGAUGAGCUGAAGUUGAAGCUAAGGCCUAUAGUUCGUAGAGUCAUUUUUGGUCCUGACGACCCCUCUUCGGCCGGGAAAGUCCAGAAGGAGGAGGAGAACAGAGAGGAGAAGGAGAAGAUCAAGAAGGAAAACAACUCCUGGUUUGGCUGGAUGAAGACUUCUCCAGCUCCACCCACUUCUACGCCUGAGAAGGGCAAGGAGAAGGAGGAGAAGGGAGAGGAGAAGGAGAAGAUCAAGAAGGAAAACAACUCCUGGUUUGGCUGGAUGAAGACUUCUCUAGCUCCACCCACUUCUACGCCUGAGAAGAGCAAGGAGGAGAAGGAGGAGAAGGGAGAGGAGAAGGAGAAGGUGAAGAAGCAAAACAACUCCUGGUUUGGCUGGAUGAAGUCUUCUUCAGCUUCACCCACUUCUACGCUUGAAAAGGGGCAAGAGGAGGAGAAGGCCAAGGAGAAGGAGAAGGCCGAGGAGAAGGAGAAGGCCAUGGAGAAGGAGAAGGCCGAGCAGAAGAAGACCGAGAAGAGCCCUCCUUCAGCCCCACCCUCUGCCCGGAUGGAUGUCCACAACAAGUAA
rnacentral:rRNA from 1 species